AACGAACGCUGGCGGCAGGCCUAACACAUGCAAGUCGAGCGAGGACUUCGGUUCUAGCGGCGGACGGGUGAGUAACGCGUGGGAAUGUGCCCUUCUCUACGGAAUAGCCAUGGGAAACUGGGAGUAAUACCGUAUACGCCCUAUUGGGGAAAGAUUUAUCGGAGAAGGAUCAGCCCGCGUUGGAUUAGGUAGUUGGUGGGGUAAUGGCCUACCAAGCCGACGAUCCAUAGCUGGUUUGAGAGGAUGAUCAGCCACACUGGGACUGAGACACGGCCCAGACUCCUACGGGAGGCAGCAGUGGGGAAUCUUAGACAAUGGGGGCAACCCUGAUCUAGCCAUGCCGCGUGAGUGAUGAAGGCCUUAGGGUUGUAAAGCUCUUUCAGCUGGGAAGAUAAUGACGGUACCAGCAGAAGAAGCCCCGGCUAACUCCGUG
rnacentral:rRNA from 1 species